GUAGGUGGCAAGCGUUGUCCGGAAUUAUUGGGCGUAAAGCGCGCGCAGGCGGUUCUUUAAGUCUGAUGUGAAAGCCCACGGCUCAACCGUGGAGGGGUCAUUGGAAACUGGAGAACUUGAGUACAGAAGAGGAAAGCGGAAUUCCACGUGUAGCGGUGAAAUGCGUAGAGAUGUGGAGGAACACCAGUGGCGAAGGCGGCUUUCUGGUCUGUAACUGACGCUGAGGCGCGAAAGCGUGGGGAGCAAACAGGAUUAGAUACCCUGGUAGUCCACGCCGUAAACGAUGAGUGCUAAUGUUAGGGGGGUUUUCCGCCCCCCUUAGUGCUGCAGCUAACGCAUUAAGCACUCCGCCUGGGAGUACGGCCGCAAGGCUG
rnacentral:rRNA from 1 species